UACGUAGGGUGCGAGCGUUAAUCGGAAUUACUGGGCGUAAAGCGCACGUAGGCGGCUCAUUAAGUCAGGGGUGAAAUCCUGGAGCUCAACUCCAGAACUGCCUUUGAUACUGAUGAGCUCGAGUCCGGGAGAGGUGAGUGGAACUGCGAGUGUAGAGGUGAAAUUCGUAGAUAUUCGCAAGAACACCAGUGGCGAAGGCGGCUCACUGGCCCGGUACUGACGCUGAGGUGCGAAAGCGUGGGGAGCAAACAGG
rnacentral:rRNA from 1 species